UUGUUUUUUACGGAGACGAGGGAAGUCUAUUAAAAGCACUUUCCCGGUGAUUGCUGAGCAUUACUGUGCAGCCUCCAACUGAGCUUGAUGACGUAGAUAUGACGUGAAUAACUGGUCUGAAAGUUGUAAUUCUUCUGGUAGCUGUGGCAA